rnacentral:ncRNA from 2 species
CAUGACUUGUUGGGAGAGACCGCGCAUUCGAUGCACGGCGCCGACGGAGCAACCGCCCCGGAAACUCUCAGGCGAAAGGACCAGCAGGUUAGA